UAUAGUAUAAUAUGAAUUUUGGUCAGUGUUUCAAAAAAGCGAUCCAUAUGAUUUAUCAUGUAAAUUUAUUUUCGGGACAUACAUUUCCCAAUAAAUGGGAACAAUGUUGUAAAGGUACAACUACUAGGCCGUUCAUCCUCAAAACCUUAAAGGUUAGGUAUAAAGUACAAAACUGCUUGUAAAUACACUAUAUAACAUGGUAUAAAUAGAAGAAGAAAAACACUACAUGGUAAAACAGAAAAAUGGCCAAUUCUAAAUGUUGUUCUGCUGUUUUCUUAAAAUAAGGCCUUCCUUCAAAAUUUAUUUAAAGUUUUUUUCUUUCAAUACCCAGACUGUCCAUAGUAACCAGCAUGUAUUGACUUCCUGUUAAUCCUGACUUGCAGUUAACCUUACUGUGGAAAAAGAGGGACACAGAGGUGGUCGUUGCAUUGGUCCCUUCACAGAUUAAGGGGCGCAACAUCCUUAUCCACCACAGUGAGCUACGCACACUUCGACCACACCAGUGGUUGACAGGGGAGGUUAUUGAGGCCCUGUUUCAUGUUGCUGCCCAUACAUUCAGUGUGGUGGACACCAUCUACUUGAUGAGUCAUUACACUACAGGUGGGAUACUGUUCGGUGACAGAACUGAGCUACCCCGUCACAGUUUACCAAAGGUAAACUUUGAGAACUAUGAAGCUGUUCUGUCAUUUGUGCUUGUCAACAACAACCACUGGAACUUUCUGUACAUUAAUGCUAAAACCAGCACAGUAUUCUUGAUGGAUCCAGCCCCCAUGUCAUCUGAAU